UCUCUCGCUCUCUCUCUAGGUGGGAUUCAGUCUCUCCAAGUCUCGUGUUAAUGGAGUCCUGUCCUACACAGCGGAGGAAACGGAGGUGUGUCCACUCAGCAAACAAAACAGCGAUGAGCCCCUCUUCCUCUUCCUCAUUGACACCAACAACCUCAGAGUCAAUGUGAAGUCUUAUGGAGACCAGGACAGCGUCUUGACCAAGCUGAAGACAAACAAGACACUCAAUAAAGACUCAGGUUCCAGGAGAAGAAGAGCGGUAGAGGCCCCUGAGG